rnacentral:rRNA from 1 species
AGCGAACGCUGGCGGCAGGCUUAACACAUGCAAGUCGAACGCAUCCUUCGGGAUGAGUGGCAGACGGGUGAGUAACACGUGGGAACGUACCCUUCGGUUCGGAAUAACUCAGGGAAACUUGAGCUAAUACCGGAUACGCCCUUUUGGGGAAAGGUUUACUGCCGAAGGAUCGGCCCGCGUCUGAUUAGCUAGUUGGUGGGGUAACGGCCUACCAAGGCGACGAUCAGUAGCUGGUCUGAGAGGAUGAUCAGCCACACUGGGACUGAGACACGGCCCAGACUCCUACGGGAGGCAGCAGUGGGGAAUAUUGGACAAUGGGCGCAAGCCUGAUCCAGCCAUGCCGCGUGAGUGAUGAAGGCCUUAGGGUUGUAAAGCUCUUUUGUCCGGGACGAUAAUGACGGUACCGGAAGAAUAAGCCCCGGCUAACUUCGUGCCAGCCGCCGCGGUAAAAC